GACGAACGCUGGCGGCGUGCUUAACACAUGCAAGUCGAACGGAAAGGCUCCAGCUUGCUGGAGUACUCGAGUGGCGAACGGGUGAGUAACACGUGGGUGAUCUGCCCUGCACUUCGGGAUAAGCCUGGGAAACUGGGUCUAAUACCGGAUAGGACCGCACUUUGGUGUGUGUGGUGGAAAGGGUUUUCUGGUGUGGGAUGAGCUCGCGGGCUAUCAGGUUGUUGGUGGGGUAAUGGCCUACCAAGACGGCGACGGGUAGCCGGCCUGAGAGGGUGGACGGUCCAAGUGGGACUGAGAUACGGCCCAGACUCCUACGGGGGGGAGGAGUGGGGAAUAUUGCCAAAUGGGGGAGACCCUGAUGGAGCGACGCCGCGGGGGGGAUGAAGGCCUUCGGGUUGUAAACUCCUUUCGCUAGGGACGAAGCUGUUUGUGACGGUACCUGGAGAAGAAGCACCGGCUAACUACGUG
rnacentral:rRNA from 1 species